rnacentral:rRNA from 1 species
AGGACGAACGCUGGCGGCGUGCUUAACACAUGCAAGUCGAGCGGAAAGGCCUUUCGGGGUACUCGAGCGGCGAACGGGUGAGUAACACGUGAGUAAUCUGCCCAUCGCUUCAGGAUAGCCAUCGGAAACGGUGAUUAAUACUGGAUAUGACAUUCCUUCGCAUGUUGGGGUGUGGUAAAGUUUUUUCGGCGGUGGAUGUGCUCGCGGCCUAUCAGCUUGUGGUGGGUAAUGGCCUACGAAGGUCUUUGGACGGGUAGCCGGCUGGAGGAGGGUCGACCCGGCCACGACGUGGGACUGACGACCACGGCCCAGACCUCCGUACGGGAGCAGCGAGGUGGGAAUAGUGGACAAGUGGGACGGAAGCCUAGACUACCGAGCCGAACGCCGCGU